ACGAACUUAACAUUUUGUCUAAAAAGUCCAACAAAGUUCCAAACCGUACAAAAAAUCCCAAUUUUGUUUUGUUUAAGUUCGUUGGGUUUUUUUUGAACAGUCAAAACAUGAUUGUAUUUUUUUAAACGUUUUGGAAACUUCGUUGGCCUAACAAGUCACUUUUCCAAUACGGUAAUAAGUCACGUCAUCUGUUUCUCUUAUUUGACUUUCAGGAAAGUGUAACUUCGUUGGGCUUUUUAGACAAAAUGUUAAGUUUGUUGGGUUUUUUUGAACAGACAAAACAUGAUUGGGGUUUCUUGAACGGUUUGAAAACUUCAUUGGGCUUUUAAGUCAUUUUCCCAUACAUGAAUUAUUUAGCUUUUCACUUUAGUUUUUUAAAAAGAAAUCAAAAAACUUCUUCAGAUGGAUGCUCUUGAUGAAAUGAGGUAAAUUUUGGUUUAUAUUUUCUUGAUGCACUAUUUUUUUAUAUAGUUUAUAAUCUUGGUCUAACAAAGUUUCAAUUCCCUAGGAUAAUUGACCGAAUGGAGCUCUAGGCAUGGUGACCCAUGUGGAGAGAUCUAGAAAUGAGUUUACCUGUUUAGGUUCAAGAGUCACAAAGAUUUACGUUGCAUUCCUCUUGGAUAUUGGAAUGUUUCAAAUCUUUUAACAUGUUCUUUUUUUGGUUCUUCCAGCAGCUUAUUUUGCCACAGGGUACGAGAUCAUAUGUUGAUCCUUCUUCCUCUGCAGUCAAGCUCCUUCUACUUGAGCUUCUUUUUGCUGAUAGUCUUCUUAGUUUACCUACAUCGAUGAGGAUAGAUCAUAUUGUAUUUUUCUGAAGAUAUGAGUACAUAGAUUAGUUAUACAAAGGUAAAUUUGGAACAUGAAACAUGUUUCCUAUAGAAAAUGAUUAGGUUCCGAAAAGAAGGUCGUGUUUACAACCGUAAUUUAUUUUCGAGCUUUAACUAAUGAUUUGUAUAUGAUUGAAUCAGGGUCGGAAGAGAAUGGUUCGUUUCACAGGUAUGGGAAUGGAAAAACUCCAUGAAUGACCAGAAAGGAAAGCACAUAAGAUCUUGGAACUUUGUUGUGUUUUUUCUUAAUUUGAGAAUUAAUUUGAGGUUAUUCCGUAGGUUUUAAAUUUGUAAAGGAUAGUUUGGUCAUUAUUGCAAAAUACACGAAUUUGGGUCUGUAUAAAUUCAGGAUUAUGUUGAAUUGUUGGAGUUUCCUUAGUGAUGUUAAAAAACGAUUUUUUGAAAGUUCAAAUGUGGUUGAAAAGGUUUUAGAAUUAGAUUGAUAAGUAUACUUUGG
rnacentral:lncRNA from 1 species